UCCCAUGUGGUCUAUUGGUUAGGAUACCUGGCUCUGACUCUGACUCAGGCGGCCCGGGUUCGAUUCCCGGCAUGGGAA